rnacentral:rRNA from 1 species
UUAAGUUAUUAAGGGCGCACGGUGGAUGCCUUGGCACUAGAAGCCGAUGAAGGACGUUACUAACGACGAUAUGCUUUGGGGAGCUGUAAGUAAGCUUUGAUCCAGAGAUUUCCGAAUGGGGAAACCCAGCAUGAGUUAUGUCAUGUUAUCGAUAUGUGAAUACAUAGCAUAUCAGAAGGCACACCCGGAGAACUGAAACAUCUUAGUACCCGGAGGAAGAGAAAGAAAAUUCGAUUCCCUUAGUAGCGGCGAGCGAAACGGGAAGAGCCCAAACCAACAAGCUUGCUUGUUGGGGUUGUAGGACACUCUAUACGGAGUUACAAAGGACGACAUUAGACGAAUCAUCUGGAAAGAUGAAUCAAAGAAGGUAAUAAUCCUGUAGUCGAAAAUGUUGUCUCUCUUGAGUGGAUCCUGAGUACGACGGAGCACGUGAAAUUCCGUCGGAAUCUGGGAGGACCAUCUCCUAAGGCUAAAUACUCUCUAGUGACCGAUAGUGAACCAGUACCGUGAGGGAAAGGUGAAAAGCACCCCGGAAGGGGAGUGAAAUAGAACCUGAAACCGUGUGCUUACAAGUAGUCAGAGCCUGUUAAUGGGUGAUGGCGUGCCUUUUGUAGAAUGAACCGGCGAGUUACGAUUUGAUGCAAGGUUAAGCAGUAAAUGUGGAGCCGUAGCGAAAGCGAGUCUGAAUAGGGCGUUUAGUAUUUGGUCGUAGACCCGAAACCAGGUGAUCUACCCUUGGUCAGGUUGAAGUUCAGGUAACACUGAAUGGAGGACCGAACCGACUUACGUUGAAAAGUGAGCGGAUGAACUGAGGGUAGCGGAGAAAUUCCAAUCGAACCUGGAGAUAGCUGGUUCUCUCCGAAAUAGCUUUAGGGCUAGCCUCAAGUGAUGAUUAUUGGAGGUAGAGCACUGUUUGGACGAGGGGCCCCUCUCGGGUUACCGAAUUCAGACAAACUCCGAAUGCCAAUUAAUUUAACUUGGGAGUCAGAACAUGGGUGAUAAGGUCCGUGUUCGAAAGGGAAACAGCCCAGACCACCAGCUAAGGUCCCAAAAUAUAUGUUAAGUGGAAAAGGAUGUGGCGUUGCCCAGACAACUAGGAUGUUGGCUUAGAAGCAGCCAUCAUUUAAAGAGUGCGUAAUAGCUCACUAGUCGAGUGACACUGCGCCGAAAAUGUACCGGGGCUAAACAUAUUACCGAAGCUGUGGAUUGUCCUUUGGACAAUGGUAGGAGAGCGUUCUAAGGGCGUUGAAGCAUGAUCGUAAGGACAUGUGGAGCGCUUAGAAGUGAGAAUGCCGGUGUGAGUAGCGAAAGACGGGUGAGAAUCCCGUCCACCGAUUGACUAAGGUUUCCAGAGGAAGGCUCGUCCGCUCUGGGUUAGUCGGGUCCUAAGCUGAGGCCGACAGGCGUAGGCGUUGGAUAACAGGUUGAUAUUCCUGUACCACCUAUAAUCGUUUUAAUCGAUGGGGGGACGCAGUAGGAUAGGCGAAGCGUGCGAUUGGAUUGCACGUCUAAGCAGUAAGGCUGAGUAUUAGGCAAAUCCGGUACUCGUUAAGGCUGAGCUGUGAUGGGGAGAAGACAUUGUGUCUUCGAGUCGUUGAUUUCACACUGCCGAGAAAAGCCUCUAGAUAGAAAAUAGGUGCCCGUACCGCAAACCGACACAGGUAGUCAAGAUGAGAAUUCUAAGGUGAGCGAGCGAACUCUCGUUAAGGAACUCGGCAAAAUGACCCCGUAACUUCGGGAGAAGGGGUGCUCUUUAGGGUUAACGCCCAGAAGAGCCGCAGUGAAUAGGCCCAAGCGACUGUUUAUCAAAAACACAGGUCUCUGCUAAACCGUAAGGUGAUGUAUAGGGGCUGACGCCUGCCCGGUGCUGGAAGGUUAAGAGGAGUGGUUAGCUUCUGCGAAGCUACGAAUCGAAGCCCCAGUAAACGGCGGCCGUAACUAUAACGGUCCUAAGGUAGCGAAAUUCCUUGUCGGGUAAGUUCCGACCCGCACGAAAGGCGUAACGAUUUGGGCACUGUCUCAACGAGAGACUCGGUGAAAUCAUAGUACCUGUGAAGAUGCAGGUUACCCGCGACAGGACGGAAAGACCCCGUGGAGCUUUACUGUAGCCUGAUAUUGAAAUUCGGCACAGCUUGUACAGGAUAGGUAGGAGCCUUUGAAACGUGAGCGCUAGCUUACGUGGAGGCGCUGGUGGGAUACUACCCUAGCUGUGUUGGCUUUCUAACCCGCACCACUUAUCGUGGUGGGAGACAGUGUCAGGCGGGCAGUUUGACUGGGGCGGUCGCCUCCUAAAAGGUAACGGAGGCGCUCAAAGGUUCCCUCAGAAUGGUUGGAAAUCAUUCAUAGAGUGUAAAGGCAUAAGGGAGCUUGACUGCGAGACCUACAAGUCGAGCAGGGUCGAAAGACGGACUUAGUGAUCCGGUGGUUCCGCAUGGAAGGGCCAUCGCUCAACGGAUAAAAGCUACCCCGGGGAUAACAGGCUUAUCUCCCCCAAGAGUUCACAUCGACGGGGAGGUUUGGCACCUCGAUGUCGGCUCAUCGCAUCCUGGGGCUGUAGUCGGUCCCAAGGGUUGGGCUGUUCGCCCAUUAAAGCGGUACGCGAGCUGGGUUCAGAACGUCGUGAGACAGUUCGGUCCCUAUCCGUCGUGGGCGUAGGAAAUUUGAGAGGAGCUGUCCUUAGUACGAGAGGACCGGGAUGGACAUACCUCUGGUGUACCAGUUGUCGUGCCAACGGCAUAGCUGGGUAGCUAUGUGUGGACGGGAUAAGUGCUGAAAGCAUCUAAGCAUGAAGCCCCCCUCAAGAUGAGAUUUCCCAACUUCGGUUAUAAGAUCCCUCAAAGAUGAUGAGGUUAAUAGGUUCGAGGUGGAAGCAUGGUGACAUGUGGAGCUGACGAAUACUAAUCGAUCGAAGACUUAAUCAA